ACGUUCGCGGGCAGACAGAAGCACCGACGUGGGCGGGGGCGCAGAGGGGGCAGGCUUAGGGAGGGGCUAUGAAGGAGACCUCUAGGGACUGAGGUGCUGUCACGAGAGGGGCAGACUGUAUAAAAUGAAAAGACCAGGGUCACAGGACCUGCAGAUCGAAGGUUGUCGGCGGACACAACAUCUUUGUAUGUGGUGCUGAGGAUGGACCCCGGGCCGCACGCAUGCCAGGCGAGCGCCCUACUGCUUGAGCCACAUCCCCAGCCCUGGCUUUGAACUCUUGAUCCUCCUGCCUCAGCCUCCCAAGUUGCUGAGAUUACAGACACUGUGACACAUGCCUGUAAUGCCAGUAACUUGGGAAGCCGAGGCAGGAGGAUUGCAAAUUCAAGGAUAAAACCCCACUUUAAGUCGGGGAGCAUCUGUAUUUAAAACAACUACUUGAGCCAGAUUGUGGAUAUAGAAGUGGAUGCCACCCACCUCCUGCCUCCAGCCCAGGCUCUUUACUCUGUCACCAAGAACAGGGAGCUUAGCAGAGAUUAAUCAGAGGGAAUUUGGCCCUUGGUAGGUGCCUGGCUCUGGCUGAAGACUGUGUUUCAGCGAGGAGCUGCCACAGAUGGAUGGGCUCUCCUGCUCGCCUGGCCUCGGGUGGCCUUUACAGGGGCUGAGACAUGACACACUGGCAGAUGCAGUGUUCUCAGAGCCAGGAAAGUCAGAGCCAAGGGAGAACAGUCCCUUCCAGACCGCAGGAGCCUCCUCAUUACAACGUCUCCCCCCCCCCCCCC